CUUACUGUCGAUCGCAAUCUAGAAAAUCAAGUAUAACAAAAUAGUAAUAAUCGAACCGCGCAACUGGAAACAUGUCAAGAAGAAGAAGAAGAAGGGGCAACCGGGGCUAGUGAUUUUCCCCUUAGACGAUUUAGAUAAGGAUGCGUUUCUCGACAUAUGUUGCAAGGGAAAUACUAAAGGAGAAUAAUCGAAGUUCAGUUGUGGUUGGCAACUUCACGGCUACAAAGGUCUGCGAAAUCAAACCAGUAAGAAGAUCGAAAAAUUUUCUGUGCGAAAAUUUGGACGGUUAAACCGGAUACGCGAAACACAAGGCAGCGCUACCGUCGCGAUCAACUUGUAGCAAAUAGAUACGCUGAUACGUCAUAAAAUGUUCAGAUUCAACUGUACCAUGAAACGUUAAACGACGAUUUCGUAUAGGGUACGCGAACUAGUCGUGAUCGCCAGGUUUAAAUAAAUUUAAUCUGUUGUGGCAUUAGCAACGAAAUGUCUGAAAAAAUCCAAGACACGAUCGAAGAGGAGAACUCGGUUACGAUGUUGGACGUGCUACGAGAAGAGAAACAGUUGGAGGAAGAUGCUUAUGCAGUUUUAGGCGCAUCCGAUGACAAAAAUUGCACCUAUAGCAAGGGAUAUACACGGCAAGCCCUUUACGCGUGCAAAACCUGUUGUCCACGAUCGAUAAGAGCCGGUGUUUGUCUGGCCUGUAGUUUUCAUUGUCACGAAGGUCACGAGCUCGUCGAACUCUAUACCAAAAGACAUUUCAGAUGCGAUUGCGGCAACUCAAAAUUUGGAGAAAAAAAGUGUAAUCUAGAGACGACAAAAGACUCUGUAAAUUUGGAAAAUCAGUACAAUCAUAACUUUGACGGAGUUUAUUGCGUUUGCGAGCGACCUUAUCCGGAUCCGGAGGACAACGUAAACGACGAAAUGUUGCAAUGCAUAAUUUGCGAGGACUGGUAUCAUUCCAUGCAUCUUGAGUGCGAACAAGGCAUGCCGUUGGACGGAGCUUACGACGAGAUGAUUUGCACGGGAUGUAUGAUAAAACACGAGUUCCUUUGGAAUUACGCAGGCAAAUACGCGGUGUUUGCAAAGACGCAAGUUCCAUCCAGUGGGAAGGAAGUGGAAUGUGUCGAGGUUGAAAAGCAGCCUAAAGGAUGUACAAUGCCAGAAAACGAUUCCGUAAAGACGUUUACGAAAGGUAGCUGUUGUUUUUGGUCGGAAGGCUGGAGAGCUGCUCUGUGUACGUGCAAGAGCUGCAAUACGCUUUAUCAAGAGAAAAAUAUUACGUUCCUUCUUGAUCCAACGGACAGUGUACACGCUUACGAGGAAGCGGGGAAAAUCAACAGUCAAGAAUCACGGUACGAGAAAGGUAUGAAGGCUCUUGCUUCUUUGGGUCGUGUCGAACAGCUGACAGCCAUCGAAGAGUACAACAAUAUGAAAGAGCGAUUGAAACAAUACUUGCAGAAAUUUGCUGAAAACAAGAAGGUUGUUCGAGAGGAAGAUAUAAAGGAAUUCUUUUCAGAAAUGGAGUCAAAGAAACGACCAAAAGUCGUAAUACCCACAUACUGUCGUUAAAAAAUAUUUUUAUUAAGGAUCGUCGAUCGUUGAGAGGAAAAAGUCUCGAUGAAACAUAGCCGCGCGGUUGCUCAGCCCGGUAACCCACAGACGAUACUUACACCUCUAUCGCUUCCUCCGACCCUCUCUCUGUCUCGCAUUAUAUCUCUAUUCCUCUUUAUACAUAUUUUCUCCGGCAUCUCUUUUCACCGCGCAUCCUUUGUUACACUCGUAUCUUCCACAGAAACCGAAUUACGGAAAUUCUUCUUGUAAUCAGAGACCGCCAGAGGGCGGAGGGGGGAGGUAGGGGGGGAGAGAGAGAGAGAGAGAGAGAGAGAGAGAAUAGGAUAGGAAAAGAAGAAGAAAUACUAAUAUGAUUCUGAAUGCAAAACAUAGCCAAAUAUAAUUAUGUGCUGAAGCACGGAUACGAAGAAACCCCGUACACACUUGACGGUGCACAGUCGGCCAUUAUUCUGGCUUCCCAAUAAGUGUAUUCGCCGGCUGUAAAUGGACAGGAACGACGAGAACUCGUGUCUUUUUUACGGCUUCCUUAAGAACCUUCAUCGAUCCCGUCGUCGUCGCAUUAUUACACAAAGACUGACGCGAGUGAACAGGCAGACUAGCGGAGAACCAAUCGAGACAACUCUUCCGACGCGUUUAACGUUUCUUAAAAAACUGUGUUCGAAAAAAAAUGUUUCACCAACGACGACGAAUUUCCUGUUUCCAUCGUUCGACGAUUUAAACCUUACGAUACUUAACCUUGAAUAUUAACCAACAAACGUCUGAAAUAUAUUAGGAUUAUGCGAAACUGUAUCUCGUAACGCACGAUGAAACAUGAAAAUCGCACUGUUAUCUUCUAACAAUUUAUUAGUAUAUAUUGUAAGUUAUCUGUGUGUAUGUACAUAUUUGGGAGUUUGUACGCAACGUUUAAACGUACUUUACAGACCACAUACUUUGUAAUUUAUCGUACGACCCUUUUCACUUCUAAUCAGCUUUAAACAGAACCAAGCUGCAAAAACCAUCAAUCGCUCCCUUUUUUCUCUACCGCACUCCUGCUGGCUGGGGCUACCACUAUCCUAAAAUUAACACAUUUUCCACGCACUGGCGUAAUUUUAUUACCGAAACUAUUUCUUCUUUCAAGUAAAAACUGGACCAACAGGUUGUCACGAUUAAAAUGAUAUGUAUUUCUGUCGAUUAGAGGGUUCUCCUCGCGAUGAUAAAAGAAAAAAGAAAAAACAUAAAAAAUGGAAAAAAGAAAAAAAGAAAGAAACUUCCUUUAUUUUAUCGAUUGUUUGCGUGUAAUUUGUCGCGAAACAGGAGCGAGAAAGCAAAAGGGAAAGACGUUGGUUUCGCGCGAAAGAUACUUGGAUAAUCGACUAGUUAUCGCGUUAGAUAACAAGAUAUACAAUCGCCUGAUACACGCGUCCGUUCGUUAUUUAAAUAUUUUACUAUGAAAAACAAUUCCGCGCUUUAUUUCGCUUUCGGCUUAUACAGGAAAAAAUAGAAAAGAAAAAG